rnacentral:rRNA from 1 species
AGUCCUACGGGACGCAGCAGUGAGGAAUAUUGGUCAAUGGGCGAGAGCCUGAACCAGCCAAGUCGCGUGACGUAAGACGGUCCUAUGGAUUGUGAACCUCUUUUGCCGGAGAGCAAAAAGCGGUACGUGUACCGCAUCGAAAGUACCCGGAGAAAAAGCAUCGGCUAACUCCGUGCCAGCAGCCGAGGUAAUACGGAGGAUGCGAGCGUUAUCCGGAUUUAUUGGGUUUAAAGGGUGCGCAGGCGGCGAGUUAAGUCAGCGGUAAACUUUCG